CCUCACCAACACAUGCAUAGGUUCGAUCACAUGGUCAGAUCAUGUUGACAUUCUACUCACCAUUACACUACCACACAUGACCACUGGUCAUGGUGACUAAACCCUACCUACCUUCACAUUCCACAAAUCCAAGACACAAUUAGGGAAGACAUCACCAAUUACUUCACCAUUAAUAAGGGUGCAUUAUCAUCUGCCGGCAUACUUUGGAGUGCCCAUAAAGCGGUUAUUAGAAGCAAACUGAUAGAAGCAGCA